rnacentral:rRNA from 1 species
UACGUAGGUGGCAAGCGUUGUUCGGAAUUACUGGGCGUAAAGCGUGUGUAGGCGGUUUCGCAAGUCGGAUGUGAAAGCCCUGGGCUCAACCCAGGAAGUGCACUCGAUACUGCGAAACUUGAGUGCCGGAGAGGUUGGUGGAAUUCUCGGUGUAGAGGUGAAAUUCGUAGAUAUCGAGAGGAACACCGGUGGCGAAGGCGGCCAACUGGACGAGCACUGACGCUGAGACACGAAAGCGUGGGGAGCAAACAGG